rnacentral:rRNA from 1 species
CCUACGGGAGGCAGCAGUGAGGAAUAUUGGUCAAUGGGCGCGAGCCUGAACCAGCCAAGUCGCGUGAGGGAAGACGGUCCUAUGGAUUGUAAACCUCUUUUGUCGGGGAGCAAAAGACGCCACGCGUGGCGUUCCGAGAGUACCCGACGAAAAAGCAUAGGCUAACUCCGCGCCAGCAGCCGCGGUAAUACGGAGGAUGCGAGCGUUAUCCGGAUUUAUUGGGUUUAAAGGGUGCGCAGGCGGAAGAUUAAGUCAGCGGUAAAAUUUAGGGGCUCAACCUCUUCGCGCCGUUGAAACUGGGUUUCUUGAGGUAGUUAGAAGUAUGCGGAAUGCGUGGUGUAGCGGUGAAAUGCAUAGAUAUCACGAAGAACUCCGAUUGCGAAGGCAGUUCACUGGACUUCAACUGACACUGAGGCUCGAAAGUGUGGGUAGCAAACAGGAUUAGAUACCCCAGUAGUC